rnacentral:misc_RNA from 1 species
UCCGGUUUGGCACCGGCAGUCUCCCUAGAGUUCCCGGCAUGAUCCGCUGGCAACUAAGGACAGGGGUUGCGCUCGUUGCGCCACUUAAGGCAACACCUCACGGCACGAGCUGACGACAGCCAUGCACCACCUGUGCGGGCUCCGAAGAGCACCGUGUUUCCACGGUUUCACCCUGCAUGUCAAGCCCUGGUAAGGUUCUUCGCGUUGCGUCGAAUUAAGCCACAUGCUCCGCCGCUUGUGCGGGUCCCCGUCAAUUCCUUUGAGUUUUAGCCUUGCGGCCGUACUCCCCAGGCGGGGUGCUUAAUGCGUUGGCUUCGGCACGGAAGGGGUCAAUACCUCCCACACCUAGUAUCCAUCGUUUAGGGCGUGGACUAC